rnacentral:rRNA from 1 species
GGGGGCACCCUGAUCCAGCAUGCCGCGUGAGUGAUGAAGGCCUUAGGGUUGUAAAGCUCUUUCGGCGGGGACGAUGAUGACGGUACCCGCAGAAGAAGCCCCGGCUAACUUCGUGCCAGCAGCCGCGGUAAUACGAAGGGGGCGAGCGUUGUUCGGAAUUACUGGGCGUAAAGGGCGCGCAGGCGGCUCUUGAAGUCAGGCGUGAAAGCCCCGGGCUCAACCUGGGAGGUGCGCUUGAUACUCUGGGGCUGGAGUACGGGAGAGGAGAGUGGAAUUCCCAGUGUAGAGGUGAAAUUCGUAGAUAUUGGGAAGAACACCGGUGGCGAAGGCGGCUCUCUGGACCGUAACUGACGCUGAGGCGCGAAAGCGUGGGGAGCAAACAGGAUUAGAUACCCUGGUAGUCCACGCUGUAAACGAUGUGCGCUAGACGUUGGGGGACCUAGUUCCUCAGUGUCGCAGCUAACGCGUUAAGCGCACCGCCUGGGGAGUACGGCCGCAAGGUUAAAACUCAAAAAAAUUGACGGA